AUGAUACCACGGGCGCGCGCAGCAAUCCAAAUCGUUGUCGCCGAUAAUUCCAAACAUCCACCAGAUAUGUACUGCUCUCCAACCAAACCACUCUGCGAAGACAUAACUACCUCUCUUCAUCGGUUGACUGACGCCGACGAGCUUUACCACUGGACGAACAUCCUCUCGCAGUCGGUCCUAUUCAUACAUCUGCCAUUUUCUAAUAGUAGCUUUAUCUUCUUCUUUUAUUUGAAAUCUUGA